AACGAACGCUGGCGGCAUGCCUAACACAUGCAAGUCGAACGCGUGUAGCAAUACACGAGUGGCGGACGGGUGAGUAACGCGUGGGAACCUGCCCAAUGGUAGGGAAUAACUGCGGGAAACUGCAGCUAAUACCCUAUGCUCCCUACGGGGAAAGAUUUAUCGCCAUUGGAGGGGCCCGCGUCGGAUUAGCUAGUUGGCGGGGUAACGGCCCACCAAGGCUACGAUCCGUAGCUGGUCNGAGAGGAUGAUCAGCCACACUGGGACUGAGAUACGGCCCAGACUCCUACGGGAGGCAGCAGUGGGGAAUAUUGGACAAUGGGGGAAACCCUGAUCCAGCAAUGCCGCGUGAGUGAAGAAGGCCUUAGGGUUGUAAAGCUCUUUCGGCGGGGACGAUGGUGACGGUACCCGCAGAAGAAGCCCCGGCUAACUUCGUGCCAGCAGCCGCCGU
rnacentral:rRNA from 1 species